rnacentral:rRNA from 1 species
AUGCACGCUGGCGGCGUGCCUAAUACAUGCAAGUCGAGCGAACGGACGAGAAGCUUGCUUCUCUGAUGUUAGCGGCGGACGGGUGAGUAACACGUGGAUAACCUACCUAUAAGACUGGGAUAACUUCGGGAAACCGUAGCUAAUACCGGAUAAUAUUUUGAACCGCAUGGUUCAAAAGUGAAAGACGGUCUUGCUGUCACUUAUAGAUGGAUCCGCGCUGCAUUAGCUAGUUGGUAAGGUAACGGCUUACCAAGGCAACGAUGCAUAGCCGACCUGAGAGGGUGAUCGGCCACACUGGAACUGAGACACGGUCCAGACUCCUACGGGAGGCAGCAGUAGGGAAUCUUCCGCAAUGGGCGAAAGCCUGACGGAGCAACGCCGCGUGAGUGAUGAAGGUCUUCGGAUCGUAAAACUCUAUUAUUAGGGAAGAACAUAUGUGUAAGUAACUGUGCACAUCUUGACGGUACCUAAUCAGAAAGCCACGGCUAACUACGU